GAUGAACGCUGGCGGCGUGCCUAAUACAUGCAAGUCGAGCGAACGGACGAGAAGCUUGCUUCUCUGAUGUUAGCGGCGGACGGGUGAGUAACACGUGGAUAACCUACCUAUAAGACUGGGAUAACUUCGGGAAACCGGAGCUAAUACCGGAUAAUAUUUUGAACCGCAUGGUUCAAAAGUGAAAGACGGUCUUGCUGUCACUUAUAGAUGGAUCCGCGCUGCAUUAGCUAGUUGGUAAGGUAACGGCUUACCAAGGCAACGAUGCAUAGCCGACCUGAGAGCGUGAUCGGCCACACUGGAACUGAGACACGGUCCAGACUCCUACGGGAGGCAGCAGUAGGGAAUCUUCAGCAAUGGGCGAAAGCCUGACGGAGCAACGCCGCGUGAGUGAUGAAGGUCUUCGGAUCGUAAAACUCUGUUAUUAGGGAAGAACAUAUGUGUAAGUAACUGUGCACAUCUUGACGGUACCUAAUCAGAAAGCCACGGCUAACUACGUA
rnacentral:rRNA from 1 species